rnacentral:rRNA from 1 species
AUGCCUGCCCAGUGACACAAGUUUAACGGCCGCGGUACUUUGACCGUGCAAAGGUAGCAUAAUCACUUGUCCUAUAAUUAAGGACUUGUAUGAACGGUUAGACAAGAACAAAACUGUCUCUUAAAAAUUUACUAAAAUUUGGUUUUUAGGUGAAGAAACCUGAAUAAUACUAAAAGACAAGAAGACCCUAUCGAGCUUAAAAAAUAAAUUAACUAACAAAAUCAAAACUAAUUAAAAAAUUAGUUGGGGCGACUAAGGAACAAAUAAAGCUUCCUCUUAUAUACUUUAAAUUCAUGCAUAAUGAUCCAAAAUAUUUGAUUAAAAAAAUUAGUUACCGUAGGGAUAACAGCAUAAUCUUUUUUAAGAGAACAUAUCGAAAAAAAGGUUUGUGACCUCGAUGUUGGACUAGGAUAUCCCAUAGAUUGCAAAAGUCUUUAAAGGUUAGUCUGUUCGACUA